AUGGUUAUCUCGCCGGCGGCCGCGGAGGAGGUGCACCUGGUACCGGCGGUGUACGUGUUCGGCGACUCGACGGUUGACGUGGGCAACCUCAAGUACCUGCCGGGGAACUUCACACCGCCGUUUCCUUACGGCAUCGACUUCCCGCUGGCGAACUCCUCCAGUCCCAACGGAAGGUUCAGCAACGGGUACAACCUGGCCGACUGCAUCUCGAGGCUGUUGGGUUUCGAUAUGAGCCCGCCGGCGUACCUGUCGCUGACGCCGGAGACGAGCGGUCAGAUCCUGAAAGGCUUCGGUGGCGCCAACUACGCCGCCGGUGGAUCCGGCAUUCUCGACACCACCGGGAAUGCCUCCCUCCCGCUGAGCAAGCAGGUGGAGUUCUUCGCGGCCACCAAGUCGAAGAUGAUGGAGAACAGCGGCGACAACGGCACCCAAGCCAUCGACGCGCUGCUAUCCAGGUCCCUCUUCCUCAUUAGCGACGGUGGCAACGAUAUGUUUGACUUCUUCCUGAAGAAACGGUCGUACCGGGAGGUUCCGGCCUUCUACGAGGACCUUCUGUCCAACUACACCAAGUUUGUGAAGACGCUGUACGGGCUCGGGGCGCGGCGUUUCGGUGUCAUCAACGUGGCGCCCAUCGGCUGCGCGCCGGCGGGGCGGGCGAAAUACCUGUUCGGUGUGUGGGACUGCGAACAUAUUUCCAAUAAACUCGCCAGGGACUUCGACAGCGCCUUGGGCGACGCGAUGGCGAAACUCGCCGCGUCGCUGCCCGGGAUGAAGUAUACUCCGUGGGGAGCCCCUAUCAGCUGGUGGAAUACUACACCGCGCACCCGGAGGCCGCCGGGUUCAAGGUUGUGA
rnacentral:rRNA from 1 species